ACACGACUACAUUAGAUACCCGUGUAGUCCUAGCCGUAAACGAUACUCGCUAGGUGUCGGCCACGGUGCGACCGUUGUCGGUGCCGUAGGGAAGCCGUGAAGCGAGCCACCUGGGAAGUACGGCCGCAAGGCUGAAACUUAAAGGAAUUGGCGGGGGAGCACCACAUCGGGUGGAGCUUGCGGUUUAAUUGGAUUCAACGCCGGAAAUCUUACCGGGACCGACAGCAACAUGAAGGCCAGGCUGAAGACUUUGCCGGAUUAGCUG
rnacentral:rRNA from 1 species